rnacentral:rRNA from 1 species
AUACGGAGGAUCCGAGCGUUAUCCGGAUUUAUUGGGUUUAAAGGGUGCGCAGGCGGCCAUUUAAGUCAGCGGUUAAAUCGUGGGGCUCAACCCCAUUCUGCCGUUGAUACUGGGUGGCUUGAUUGCGGUCGAGGUUGGCGGAAUUCGUUGUGUAGCGGUGAAAUGCAUAGAUAUGACGAAGAACACCGAUUGCGUAGGCAGCUGACCAGACCGCAAAUGACGCUCAUGCACGAAAGUGCAGGGAUCGAACAGGAUUAGAUACCCUGGUAGUCCGCACAGUAAACGAUGAAUACUUGUUUUCGGCGAUAUAAUGUCGGAGGCAAAGCGAAAGCGAUAAGUAUUCCACCUGGGGAGUACGCCGGCAACGGUGAAACUCAAAGGAAUUGACGGGG